rnacentral:pre_miRNA from 1 species
GGAAACUUGGAAACUACCGUUGGAUCGAGAAAUGGACGUCCGAGAUUCGUCCACGUCACCAUGAGUUAAAAUUUAACUCCCUGUAAAAUUUUAACUCAUGAGUGAAGCUGCGAGUUAAAUUUUAACUCAUGAUGACGUGGCCGAAUCUCGGACGUCCAUUUCUUGAUCCAACGGUAGUUUCCAAGUUUCC